CGGAGGAAGGGGUGUGUGGAGGAUCAGAUCCCAGUCUGAGGAGGGGACUGAUGGCAAAGAGGGAAGAAAGGAGGGAAAGGAGAAAGCGUGAGGAGAAGGUGGCAAGGCCAGAUAAGAGCCGGCUGCGCUAUCGGAGCCAGCAGCGCACAGUCGCAAAGACCUCGGGGACAGUGGCUCCUGGGCGGCGGCGGCGAGUCCUGCCGUGAAUGGGAACCCGCUGGCUACAGCGAUCAACCAGCUGCUCCCAGGAGGAUGGUGACAGGGCGCUGAAGGUCCAGACCUGCUGAUGCCAGCGGUCCUGGCGCCAGGGACUCGACCUCCCCACACCUCAGCUUCCUCAUUUUAAAGUGAUGAUCACGGUCCCGCCCCUGAGGUUGAUGUAAGGAUUAAUGCGCGUGGAUGAGGCCCUGCCCGUGUGCAUGUGAAGUUCUUCCCAGAUGUCAGCUGGUGGUGUUCUCACGUCCCUCCCACUCUUCCUCGCCUGACCCUUGAGUGGCAUGUGGCUGUGCCUGAGUGUCUUCAUCCAGGCUCCUGCUGACGGACGUGAGAUUGGGUCCAGUCUUUUGUGAUCGCAAAUAAAUGCUGCAUU